UAUUAUCUCAGUUAAUCCUCAGCACGUC
rnacentral:piRNA from 1 species